AUAAAAUCCUAUAAAUCGGAGACUCCUAAACAAAAAGCCCUAGCCUCAUACAUAGGGAGACAAGGGUGAAGGAAAAGCAAAUUAGUCGCUGCAAAGUAGAGCAGCAGUCAUCAAAGAUCCGAAGCUUUUUCAGAGACUAGAGCAAUUUGGUCACCUGGCUAAGCCAUUCUUCAUCACAUUGCUUAUCAUUUCAAAGGAUUGGGACUCAAUAGGGACGAGAGACAUGUCCCCUCAAUCUCCGGGUUUACUUAGAAGUUGAAAGUUUUGAUGGCAUGAGUGGAGUCGGAAAAAAGAAACUAAGGUUGUACAUAGUCGGAGCAUAAAAUGGGCAAAAAGACAGAAUUUGGAGAGAGUUGACUUUGUCUGCAUGUGCGUUGACUUUCCCGCACGUGCGUUGACUUUUUCUAGAAAAAUGUGCCAGACGUUUUAAACCUGUUUGGAAAGACACCAGAAGUAUAAAUAGGCAAGAAAAAUGCUGGAUUAGGGUUCUGGAGUUGUUUUGUCAAGAAAAGGAGGCUAGGGUUUGAAAAGAAGAGGAACUUGUAGCUUCAAGCAUGUCUCCCAUGGUGGCUUCUUCUCCAUCUACCUCCUUCCACUCCUCCAUGAGUGGCUAGUCUCCUUUUCUAAGGUUUUGAUGA